AUUGAACGCUGGCGGCAGGCCUAACACAUGCAAGUCGAGCGGCAGCACAGUACUUGCUCGCUCUUUCGGGGGCCGACGGGUGAGUGAGUGCGAAGUAUAUCGCUGUUUGUGUUUUCUUGCGUGCUGACGCGGGGGCUCAUACCGUAAUACUCCUGAGGGAGUACGUGGGGGAUCUUGGGAUCUUCGGCUCUUAGGCGAGUCUAGGUCGGAUUAGCUAGUUGGUGGGGUAAAGGCGUACCAAGGCGACGAUCCGUAGCUGGUCUGAGAGGAUGAUCAGUCACACUGGAACUGAGACACGGUCCAGACUCCUACGGGAGGCAGCAGUGGGGAAUAUUGGACAAUGGGCGAAAGCCUGAUCCAGCCAUGCCGCGUGUGUGAAGAAGGUCUUCGGAUUGUAAAGCACUUUAAGUUGGGAGGAAGGGCAGUAAGUUAAUACCUUGCUGUUUUGACGGUACCAACAGAAUAAGCACCGGCUAACUUCGUG
rnacentral:rRNA from 1 species